GGAAGUAAAAGUGUAACAAGGUUUCCGUAGGUGAACCUGCGGAAGGAUCAUUAUCGUAUAACCGAGGUGCGAGGGCUGUCGCUGACCCGAAAGGUCGUGCACGCCGGAGUGCCCUCACGCACAUCCAUCUCACCCCUAUGUGCACCACCGCGUGGGUCCCCCUUUGGCUUGUUCGGAGGGGGGCUUACGUCUUCACACAAACUUUGUAUGCAGUGUAGAAUGUAUUUUUUGUUUUUGCGAUCACGCAAUCAAUACAACUUUCAACAACGGAUCUCUUGGCUCUC
rnacentral:misc_RNA from 1 species